rnacentral:rRNA from 1 species
AAAUUGAAGAGUUUGAUCAUGGCUCAGAUUGAACGCUGGCGGCAGGCCUAACACAUGCAAGUCGAACGGUAACAGGAAGCAGCUUGCUGCUUUGCUGACGAGUGGCGGACGGGUGAGUAAUGUCUGGGAAACUGCCUGAUGGAGGGGGAUAACUACUGGAAACGGUAGCUAAUACCGCAUAACGUCGCAAGACCAAAGAGGGGGACCUUCGGGCCUCUUGCCAUCGGAUGUGCCCAGAUGGGAUUAGCUAGUAGGUGGGGUAAAGGCUCACCUAGGCGACGAUCCCUAGCUGGUCUGAGAGGAUGACCAGCCACACUGGAACUGAGACACGGUCCAGACUCCUACGGGAGGCAGCAGUGGGGAAUAUUGCACAAUGGGCGCAAGCCUGAUGCAGCCAUGCCGCGUGUAUGAAGAAGGCCUUCGGGUUGUAAAGUACUUUCAGCGGGGAGGAAGGGAGUAAAGUUAAUACCUUUGCUCAUUGAC